CAGAGGGUGCAAGCGUUGUUCGGAAUUAUUGGGCGUAAAGCGCGUGUAGGCGGCCAAGCAAGUCGGGUGUGAAAGCCCUCAGCUUAACUGAGGAAGUGCGCCCGAAACCACGUGGCUUGAGUACCAGAGAGGGUGGCGGAAUUCCCGGUGUAGAGGUGAAAUUCGUAGAUAUCGGGAGGAACACCAGUGGCGAAGGCGGCCACCUGGAUGGAUACUGACGCUGAGACGCGAAAGCGUGGGGAGCAAACAGGAUUAGAUACCCUGGUAGUCCACGCCGUAAACGAUGAGCGCUAGGUGUUGUGGGUGUUGACCCCUGCAGUGCCGAAGCUAACGCAUUAAGCGCCCCGCCUGGGAAGUACGGCCGCAAGGCUA
rnacentral:rRNA from 1 species